CCCUGUCACUUAACUCCAAUUGCCUCAGGAAAGAAAGAAAAAUCAAAAUGCUACACUCAUUUAUCACAUUCCUAAUAUGUGCAGCAUAUCCUACAAGACAGUACAAGGACUAUAUCAAGAUGAACACUACAGGGUGCCUAAUCUGAAGUCUGAAUCCAAUACCAGAUGAAGGCACCUCUUUACUAAACAAUGUUGCUCUCUUUUCUAUAACAUAUUUCACUUUGUAAAAAUUAUUAUAUUUUUUGUAAAGCACCAUGUGAUUUUUAUUUUUUAAAGCCUUUUAUUUGCAAAACAUAUGCACAGAUUUUUUUUUUUUUAAAUUAUAAAGUGCAAUGGAAAGAGCACUAAUUUUGGAGUUGAAUGACCUGGAUUUAAAUACCAGCUUUUGUCAGUCAGUAUCUGUAGGAUUUGGAACAAGUCAUUUUUCUUUUUUAUUUUAAAAUGGGAGUGGAUGAGAUGACAAAAGGACCCUUCACCUUGCACACCAGACCCCGUGUCCCUUGUGAUCCAAACCGAGUGACAUUUCUAAGUAGCCAAUCGAAUUGGACAAGUAUUUAUUCGAUGACUCCUAUAUGCAAGGUAGCAAAGUGAUAGGAAUACAAAAUUGGGAGACAGAGCAUACCAAGUGGGGUUAUUCUGCAGUAAAGCCAGAGAGAUGGUCUAGAGCAGGGGUCCUCAAACUAUGGCCAGCGGCCAGAUGCGGCAGCUGAGGACGAUUAUCCCCCUCCCCCAGGGCUAUGAAGUUUCUUUAUUUAAAGGCCCACAAAACAAAGUUUUUGUUUUUACUAUAGUCUGCAGUCUGAGGGACAGUGAACUGGCCCCCUAUUUAAAAAGUCUGAGGACCCCUGGUCUAGAGCCUGAGGAGGAGAGGCUUCAUAGGCCAAUAUAAGGAAUCUAGAUCGUCUCCAAGUGAAGGCCCUUGAAGAGAAGACAAGAAUAAGCAUAUGCUUUAGCAGAAUUAUUUUGUCAGCUAUGAGAAAUGAAGAGGGGAAGCUUGAGGCAGACACCAAUGAGCUAUUCAGUCAUUCAACAUGUAUUUAUUAAGCAACUUAUGUUGCUAGAGAUCCCCAGGAUGGGGAGAAAAAUCAAACCAUUCAUAUCCUUAAGGAAUAGAACAAUAUGACCACCUAGAAGUAUAUACAAAAUACAGAAACCGAAGAAAGGUGGGGGUGAGGGGAGGCACUUGCAUAGUUAGUGGAAGUAAAAGUCUUUUGUAAAAGGGGAUGUUUGAACUGAGCUUUAAAUGAAAUUAGGGAUUCUGAGAGGGAAAAGCAAGGAGGAACUAUAUUCCAGACAUGAAAGACAGCCAGAAAAGGUACAGAAGAAGCAGAUAAUUGUUAAGAGGGCCUUUUAAAAAGAAUGGUAAGAAGGUAAAUCUGCUUAGACCCAAAGAAUGUAUACAUGAGGGUAAUUUUUUUUUUUUUUUGGUUUGUUUUUGCUGAGGCAAUCAGGGUUAAGUGACUUGCCCAGAGUCACACAGCCAGUAAGUAUUAAGUGUCUAAGGCUGGAUUUGAAUGCAAGUCCUCCUGACUUCAGGGCCAGUGCUCUACCCACUGUGCCACCUAGCUACCCCCAGGAGAGUACUGUAUAAUCAAGCUGGAGCCAGUUUGGGAAGGGCCUUAAAUGUCAAAGUCAUUGGGAUUUACUGAGUUUGGGGAUGAGAUGGUCCUGGGGCUUAUGAAAAAUGACUAACCAGUUAUGCAGAUUCUACAUAUGGUUAAUAAUCAUCAGGUCGUGUUAACAAAUGAAAUGGUAAAAGAGAAGAUCUUAAGGUUAAAAAGAAGUACUUUUGGUGAUGCUUUAACAUGUCUUAUGUUAAGGAGCUUUAUUAUGCAUUACUUUAUUUCCUUAUUCAUGAGGUAUUUUUUGUGAAAAGAGUUAAGGAUGUGAUUUAUUAGAAAUGUAUGUGUUGUAUUACUUCUUACUAUAGAUGUUUAAAGCCUCUGAACAUGCUUUCAAAAAGAGAACUGGCAUUAUUUAUUUGUUUGCCAGAAUUUUGGAAAUAUGAGGUCAUACUAGUUUAAUUUAUUUUAAAAGUUGCACUUUUCUUGGAAAGAAGCAGAAGCUGAGAAGAUAGACAUGCUAGUACAUUUUUAUAUCUAUUUGCAAAAUUGAAGGGGCUAAACUUGACAAUGUAGUUCUUUGUACAGCCUAUUGUUUUUGUUAUUUUUUCCCCCAAAGAUAAAAUACAAUCGAAUGAUUGUCUUAAAUAUUGUGAACAAAAUUUCUAGUAAAUUUGGCUUCAAUGUUUCAUUUUUAAUUAAUUUUGAACAUUAUUUAUUUACCAGAAAAUUAAAACAGUAAUUUAAAAAAAAAGAAAGAAAGAAAACUAUCUGGUGGCUGUAUGAAAAAUUGAAUCCCUGCCCCUUCAAGAAGCUUAUAUUCUAAUGGAGGAGAAAACCUAUACAUAAAAAGGUAUAGAGAAGGUAUCUACAGAGGGGGUGGAAAGCAGUCUUGAAAAAAACAGCAUUAAUAACAGAAGGGACCAGGAAAGAGGCUUUCUGCACAAGGUGGGAAUCUUGAAGGAAGCCAGAGAAACCAAGUUAAAUCAGAAGGGAGAAUUCCAGAUCUGGGGGACAGCCAGUAUAAAGGUAUGGAAAUGGGAGAAAAUAAUUGCCAGCAAUGACAUCAUACUUUAAGGUUUACAAAGUGCUUUACAAAUAUUAUUUCAUUUCAUCCUCAUAACUCUGGGAAGCAGGUCUUAUUAUUAUCCUGUAUUUUUAGAUGAGGAUGAGGAAACUGAGACAGACAGGUUAAAUGAUUCGCUCAGGGUCACACAGUUAGUGAGGGUCUGGGGUCGGAUGAAUCCAGCUGCUAACAGAGCUUCAGGGGGGAGCAAUAACAAAUAAGCAAGGGCAGCUCAAUCAUGGCAGGAGUGGAGAGGAAUAAAAUAUAAGAAGACUGGAAACAUCAGAAGGGACUAGGAUGUAGGGAGCUUUAAAUGCCAGAGGAGCUUGUAUUUGAUCUUGGAAGUACUGGGAAGUCACUGGACUUUUUUAAGUGGCAGGGGGUUGAGGAGAAAGGAGGGAUUUUGUGGAAAAUCACAUUGAAAAUCACACUGACAGGUGAGUGGGAGAGGGACUGGAAUGGGCAAAUUUGAGACAGGAAGACCUACUAAGAUGCCAUCGAAAUAGUCCAAGUCAGAGAUGAUGAGGGUUGUUGAUUAACUGGAAAGAAGAUACAUGAAAUAUCUUAGAGGUAGAAAAGGCAGGAUUUAGCAACCGAUUAACCACAUAGAACAAGUGAGAAUUUAAGGAUGCCGCUGAGGUUAUGAAUCUCGGUGAUGGAACAGAUUAGAGUGCCCUGAUCAGGGAUAGGAAAGUUCAAAGGGGGACGGCUUGGGAGGUAGAAGAUAAUGAGUUCUGUUCUGCACAUGCUGAGAGAGUUUGUGAUGUGAGACUGCAGAAGAGAGAGAAUGAGAGAGAGCUGAGAAUCAUAAAAAUGAUAAUUGAACCCAUGGGAGCUGAUCAAGUCAUUAAAGAGAAAAAAAAAAGAACCAGAACAGGACCUUAGAGGAUGCCCAUAGGGAGUGGGCAAGACAAGGAUGAAGACCUAGCAAUGGAGCCAGAGAAGGAGAAGACAGCUCGGUUCAACAGCAUAUGAAGAAGCAAAAGAGGCAAGUGGUAGGAAUAACCUAGGUUGGGAGUCUGGCAAGGCUUGGCUGGCAACCGGAUAAGGAGGUAAGGGAUAAGAGAGUAAAAUGUAACAAUGAGUUGGCUCACCCAAGGGCUCGAGAUAAGAAAAAGAACAUAGCUAGGUCAGGGGCAAUGGCCUCAAAAGAAUUUAGUAGAAGGAAUGGAGGUCAUAGUGAUGAUAGUGGGAACAAUCUGCUGGAGAAGAUGGGUGGGGACAGGUACAUCGAAGUACUUAUAGAGGAGGUACCUAUGGCCAUGAAAAAGCUCUCUAUCAGAGACUGAAGUAAAGGAGAUGAUAACCAGAAUGCAAUGAGGAGAAGGGGAAAAGUGGGAGUUUUCAGGCAAUGACUUCAUUUUUCCAGUGAACUAUAAAGCCAAGUUCUCAGCUUGGAGGAGAGAAAGCUUAGGGGGUUGGCAGAAGAGUAACAGUAUGGAAGGCCCACAGGUAAAAGGGGUUUGGUACAGCCACUGUGGAGAGUGGGAUGAGGAUUCAGUUAUGGAAGACAAGGACUGUUUUGCUAGUGACAGGUCACUUGAAAUUAGUGAGCAUAAAUCUAAAGUGAACUCGGCAUAGUUUCAUGAUUUCCUUUGAGUCCACUCUGCAGCAUGUGAGAAAAAAUGGAGGAGGUAAAUGGUGAGAGUAAACUAAGGGCAAAGGGCUUGAGAGCAGGGAACUUUGUCUACCAAGGGGUUGAGACUGGGAAGGGGGAUUGUAGCCAGAGCAGGAGGAGCCCGGAAAAAUUCUGAGGCAUGAAGCAAUCAAGGGUGAGGACAAAGACUAGAUUUAGGAAGAAUAACACAUGAGGAGAGAUUGAGAGGAAAAAAAAAAAGGAUUCUGAGAUUUACCGAAUGUGGAAUUGGUAUGCCUUUGGUGAUGGCAAGCUCAAGGGUAGGACUAUUCCUACGGGAAGCUAUGUGGAGGUCAUCACUCAAUACCAGCUCCUCACAUUGGUUCCCUUGCCUGAGCUGCUUAACACGUUCAAAGGACAAAUUUGUAAGAACACAGUCAAAAACAAAAUCUAUGGUCCCGGCCUCUCGGGAGCUCACAAUUUAUUCAGAAAGCUAAGAGAUACACGAUUACAAAACAUAACAGCAAAGGCAGCCAGUUCGUUUUGCAGAUGAGGAGCUGAGGCAAAUAGGGUUAAGUGAUUUGCCCAGAAUCACACAGGCUGGAUGAGUUUUCCUGACUCCAGGUGAUUUAUCCUGAACUGAAACGCCACCUAGCGUCCAUGAUGUGGAUGCAUCCUAAACCUGUGUGAUUAAUAUACAAGCCUGGGGGAAGAAGUCAUUGGAAAUUCAUUGAGGAUAUCAUAUAUAGAAUUUUUAAAAAGAGAGAGAGAUUAACUUAAUGACAUGUUAAAUAUGGAUCAGAUAGAGGAAUUAAAAGAUCUAGAUUACAGAGGCAAAACACAGGAGAGAAUAAGAGGGAGGAUGGGGCCAUUUUUAUGCUGGUUGGUAAAGCUACAAUUCACAGUACUUGAAGAGGUUAAUGAGCUUAGCGAAGGAAUUAUUUGAAGGGAAUAGCAAUAAGAAUGCUUAAGUCUCCAAAUAAAAGCAGAAAGCAGAUAAGACAACUGAGGGAAAAGUGUCCAACCUGUUAAGAAAAGGAGAAAGACACAGGGGCAUGUAGAUAACUACCCAAGAUCUAUGGGUACUACCCACAGCCUGAACAUGGACUGACAGAUUGAGAGCUGGAAAUAAUCUCUGAGGUCAUCUAGUGAAGCUCUCUCAUUUAACACUAGUAGAAAACUGAGGCCCAGAGGGUGAAAUGAAUUGCCCCAAAUGGGAAACCAAGUGGCAGUUCCAGGCUCUGAAGUCAGGUCCUCUGACUCCAAAUUUACAACCACUUCCAAGGCACCGAAACCAUUGAGCUCCAAAAGUUGCUGCUGAGUAAGCUUUGUACUCAGUGACAAGUAUCUGUUAUUAAGUCCUAAUUCAUAUGCAUCUCAAAUUCUUCCAACAGUUAAAAUAGACACUACUGUCACUUCUAAUUAAGAUACUUCCAAAAAGGGAUUUGCUGAAAGGGAGUUUUUACUUCAUUAUAAAUCCUUUUAUGUGUUUUCUGUUUUCACUCUUAACUUCAGGGGCCAAACUCUGACGGGGUCCUCUAAGGCAUCUGACAAAGGACAAAAAUGUCAGGCUAACAAAUGUGAGACCAUUGCUACAAGACCAUAAGAUAAUGGGAAAGAAAAUGGGGAAAUUGAGACAAGCAGAAGUUAAGCGACUUGCCCAGGAUCAUACAAAUAUUUUACAGAUGAAGAUACUGAGGUCUACAGUGACUUUCUCACAGUCUUACUGCUAUGAAAUAUCUAAGGUAGGAUUAGAAUCCAGGCCUUUCUGACUUUGCCUAAUGUUAUAAAUCCACUUCACCAUGCUAAAGGCAUCUACUUAAACCAUCUCUAUGUUCCUUGUUUUCAUGCUAGUUUGUACUGUUGCAGUGAAUUUCCUUAUGCAUUUCUCUAUCAUGAAUUAUUUUACUUUACAAAUUAGAGGCAAUAAAAAAUGUAAAACAAUGGGAAAAAAAAAAAGCUAUGGUCUAUAGCAGAGAUGUUGAAUAUGUGACCCAAGGAUUCUACAUGUGGUCCACUACACACCUGAGUAUAGCUCAAACCAGAUUAAAACAGAAUUGAGAAACAUAUGACAAAAUAAAUACAAAUUCAAUAAAACAUAGAUAAUAUAACAUUUUACUACUAGGUCAAUAUGCAGCCCUGAGUGAUUCUUAUGUAGUUUAGGGCCCCCCCCCCCGUUUCUAUUUGCAUUUGACAACAAUGCUCUAAAGGAUUAUUUUCGUUAUCAAUAUGACUAUGUCAAACAUAAUUUAGUCUUUUCUUCAUGGCUCAGGGUCAGUAUUACAAACCCCAUUAUUAUACUGGCUCGAAUUACAAUGUCUCAGGAGGCUACUUCCAUACCAGGCAUCCUUUGACCCUACCCUCAGCAGCCUGGAAAUACUAUUCUUUUAAAACAUUCUGCUCUUUAUGAUUUAGUCAUUUCCUGAGGCUGUUUACAUACCUGUCUCUAACUCUGAGAUGAACUAGAAAGCCAGGUUUUUGUUUUUUGGGUUUUUUUAAUCACAUGUACUUAUUUAAUAGUUAAAUCACCAUAUUUAGGUGGAAACCUAAAAACAAAUCCACUCAAAUAAUAUAUAAACACAUCACUAAAACUAUAUCAAUUAGUAUUUAGUCCUCAAUGUAUUACAGCUAAGACUCAUUCUAAAAUCAGCUUCUCCACAUGUCUUUGAUCAGUUGAGUUGUUAAAUAUUAGAAAAGUUGGGUUGUUAAAUAUUAGAAGAGAUGUUAAGUACUUUCAAGGUUUUAAAAUUUAUACAACUGCUAUAAGUAAAGUCAAAGUCCCAUUAGUAGCCUUCCUCCUCUAGUCUCUGAGUAAAUGAGAAAUUUAAUCUACAGUCUAGGGCUCCAGGAGGCAAUUAACCUUUCCCUUGACCACACUGCACUAGGACUCAGUAUUUUUCCAAUACUCUCUUCCUCUAGAAAGAUGGAUUAUACCAUCCCCCAGCUGUGGAUGAUGAUUCCCUUUGUACCCCAUCUCCCAGAAUAUCUCAUCUGAAUUGUUCAAGAUCACUAUAGAGAUGACAGGAAUUUAGAGGAAUUCUGAGGAUACAAAGCUUAGUUUUUUCUAUCCACCUUCCAGUACAGCAGUGGAUUUUUUGCUUCUUGUUCUAAGAGGAAAUACCCUCCCCAGUUCUUCACAUGGGUCCAUUGAGUCUCUCCAACAACUAGAUAUGUCACAUCUUAACACUUGGGGAGGGAGGAAUCUAUUUAGUGUACUAAGUAGCCUAAUUCUCCCAAUUCUCAAGUUUCUAAACACAUAACUUUAAACUUUUAUAGACUGCAUAUUGGUCACUUAGAAACACAUCCUCCCUUUUUAAUGCUAUUAUUUCUCUAUUUUAAUGUUUCAUGUUGUUUCUUUUUAAUGUUGUUACUGCUCCCACUCAUACAAUGCUAUCUCCUCUAGUCAAGAUUAGGGAAACCAAUUAAAUGGAAAACUCUAGAAUUA